GCCCUUGUAGCUCAGCUGGUAGAGCGCGUCCUUGGUAAGGACGAGGUCGGCGGUUCAAAUCCGCUCGGGGGCUCCA
rnacentral:tRNA from 1 species